GCAGCCGUCAUCUAGUGGUAGGAUGCAAGCUUGCCAAGCUUGCCGCCCGGGUUCAAAUCCCGGCGACUGCACCA
rnacentral:tRNA from 1 species